GAUGAACGCUGGCGGCGUGCCUAAUACAUGCAAGUCGAGCGAACAGACGAGGAGCUUGCUCCUCUGACGUUAGCGGCGGACGGGCGAGUAACACGUGGAUAACCUACCUAUAAGACUGGGAUAACUUCGGGAAACCGGAGCUAAUACCGGAUAAUAUAUUGAACCGCAUGGUUCAAUAGUGAAAGACGGUUUUGCUGUCACUUAUAGAUGGAUCCGCGCCGCAUUAGCUAGUUGGUAAGGUAACGGCUUACCAAGGCGACGAUGCGUAGCCGACCUGAGAGGGUGAUCGGCCACACUGGAACGGAGACACGGUCCAGACGCCUACGGGAGGCAGCAGUAGGGAAUCGUCCGCAAUGGGCGAAAGCCUGACGGAGCAACGCCGCGUGAGUGAUGAAGGUCUUCGGAUCGUAAAACUCUGUUAUUAGGGAAGAACAAAUGUGUAAGUAACUAUGCACGUCUUGACGGUACCGAAUCAGAAAGCCACGGCUAACUACGUG
rnacentral:rRNA from 1 species